GACGAACGCUGGCGGCGUGCUUAACACAUGCAAGUCGAACGGAAAGGCCCUGCUUUUGUGGGGUGCUCGAGUGGCGAACGGGUGAGUAACACGUGAGUAACCUGCCCUUGACUUUGGGAUAACUUCAGGAAACUGGGGCUAAUACCGGAUAGGAGCUCCUGCUGCAUGGUGGGGGUUGGAAAGUUUCGGCGGUUGGGGAUGGACUCGCGGCUUAUCAGCUUGUUGGUGGGGUAGUGGCUUACCAAGGCUUUGACGGGUAGCCGGCCUGAGAGGGUGACCGGCCACAUUGGGACUGAGAUACGGCCCAGACGCCUACGGGAGGCAGCAGUGGGGAAUAGUGCACAGUGGGCGGAAGCCUGAUGCAGCAACGCCGCGUGCGGGAUGACGGCCUUCGGGUUGUAAACCGCUUUCGCCUGUGACGAAGCGUGAGUGACGGUAAUGGGUAAAGAAGCACCGGCUAACUACGUG
rnacentral:rRNA from 1 species